AUUUGAUUUCCCUUUUCUCUUUAUUCUGACCUCUCUUUUUCUCUCUCCUCUAAUUCCCCUUCCCCAUAAUUAGCUACUAUAUUUUCCUUUCCCCAUUUUCGGUGCUUGGUUGUUUCAUUUUACUAAAGUUUGACCUCCUAUUUUCUCUCUCCUCUGAUUCCCUUUCCCCACAAAUGGCUACUGUAUUUUUUCCUUUUCCAUUUUUGGUUGUUGCUUGUUUUAUUUUGGCACCAUUUUUGCUUGUGCUAGUUAUGGAAAUGAAGGAAGUUUCACUAUUGUUGAUUGUAUUGUUACCUAGUCGUGGCCCUUUAUCAGCAGUGACUUGUUUUUGUUGUGGUUGUUGAUCGCUGGAAAGAACUGUGAUGAGGUUAGUCUUGCCACUGGUCCAAGAAACCUUGGCCUUGGUGGCGGCUUUUCGUUGCUUGAGCUCCUCCCACCACUCCGGGUACCCGAUUAGUUUAAAGCAUCCAUCCUUGGUAUGACGUGAGCCACCACAAUGACUACAUUUGAGAAAACUUCGAUCUUCACGCCAGGAUGAAGAAUUUUCCGACCGGUGAUGAACAACCAUACCACUACAAAUCUCUGAGGGACCUCGUCCCGAUGAUGAGUCGCCACCCAUAAUACCUCGGCAUGUGAUUUCACGUCGUUUGGUAGCAUAUACGGCGUCAAGGGUUGGUAGAGGAUCUUGGUGGAAAAAAGAACACAUUUAGUACUAUCACCAUCUCCAUCUUCUUUUGGUGUUUGAAGUUGGAUUUUGAAUUUUGAUUGAAGAAUUGCUCAUCAAGGAAGUCGAUUCGUGACGGGAAGUUGAUAGGUUCAUUUAAGAUUUGCUUUUGCUUUCUUAAGUGAGUUAAGUUGCAGGCUGGGGAGUGAGGAUUACAUCUGAAGAAUAAAAGAGAUAGAGUACGAAAGGAUUUUAAUUUCGAACUUUAUUAGCUUUUUAGAAAUGGAUUUAUUCAAGAGGCGACUUCGCUCUCGAGAUGUACUCCUUGGACUUUUGGUUUCAUAUCUUUUAUCCGCUGCUAAGACUACGAUAUCACUAAUUAAUCUACAAUAACUCAAGUAGAACUCGAUCCGCAAGUUUUAACUUUAAAAAUUUUGUUUUCUCGUGCCUUUAUGACAUCUUGCUUAAACUCGAGUCCUGCUUGGUUUUCUUUUAAAAUAUAAAAAUCUCUCUUUUAACGAUCCGAGUUUUUUCCGGGAUGUUACAGUAGAUCUUCGAGUCGCGGUCGUAUGGGCACUUUAAUCGCUCCAAAAUGAGUUCGUAUGAGAGAGUUAUGUUCAAAAUAGUGAAAUACCAACAGGCUGUCAUGAAAAUCAAUAAUAAGCUUUCUGUUUUGCCAUUUUCGGGGUCGUUUUGAUUGUUUCUGGGUUUUAGUGUCUCAUAAGAAUAGUAGAUCUCUGAGUCAUGGUUGCGUAGCCAUUUGAAUCGCCUCUAUACAAGUUCUUGUGAGGAAGUUAUGACCGAAUUACUAACAGGUGUCCUGAUAUGGUACUAAAAUGGAAUUUAUUAAGUAGGAACUAUAAAAUGAAUUGGAUGUUUAAGGUUAUUUAUUGGGUAUUUGAGAUUAAUUUUAGGGUUAUUAUUCUCCCUUUAUUGAUUGGUAUUUUAAAUGAUGAUGAAUUGAUUUAUAUUUUAAGUUAUGAUUGUGAUUUCAAAAGAAAAUUUAGUGAAUUCUUGUUUUGUUUUAUAAUAAAAUAUUCGACAUUAAAAAAUGUCCGUUUUUGGGAAUUGGCAACGGGAAUUUAUAUCCGGAUUAUUGUGAAAUUUUAUAGCUUGAUAAAAGGUAAUGGUUAUUCGGAUCGGUCUCGAGCCCCCGAUCCCGUUUCGUUCUUGCAAGAACUGUAUUUUCGGUGAUGACGAUCACCGUGUUCUCAGGAUUUAGAUCAAGCCUACUUCCUGACGGUUCAUUAUAUUCCCACAUUUUAAACUGUUAUUACAUUAUUGUUUUUAAUGAGUUUUGAAUAAAUAUGUUAGGUAUAUAAAGUUUUGUCUGUUUUACAAUGGAAGCAUAUGUUUCAUUUGCCGUAUUAUUUCGCUAUUAACUUGUAAAGUUAUAGCCGUAUUUUGAUUCGUUAUGAACUAAAGGUUCAUAGCCGUAUUUAUGUCGAUACCAAACGAUCUUUUAAAAGAGUUUGGACUUGGAUAAAAUAAUGUUUAUAAAUGGUUACCAAGUAAACAAGGAAUUUUAUUGAAGAUGUUUGUUAAUGACUUGUAUAUAAAUGUAAUAGUUUGUUGGAUUACUCAACAAUUCAAUUGUUGACAGUUUAUGAUGGGGCCUAUCUCUUACAGGGGUUAGGUCCACUUUCAGGUUGCCAACUUUAGUGCGGAUGGAUAUGAUGCUCCUUUAUGUGUCAUGUGUUGCGAUAGCGAGGACAUUGUUUUUGGAAAGUUAACUUAUCAUGAUAUUUUGACAAAUCAUGUGUUAUAAAGUUAACUUAGUUUAUAACUGGAAAAGAAAUUGAAGAACACUUGCUGCUUCCUUACACACUUACUGCUUCUCUCUCAUUCACGCAUCCUGCUACUGGUAUACUCAAAUCGAAGAACAUUGCUUCUGCUGCUGGUAUACUCAAAUCGAAGAAUGUUGCAGCUGGAAUUCUUCUCUGAUUAUUGCUUGAUGUUUUAAUUAAAAACGUUUCUGAACUGGAAAAUGGAUGAAAUUUUGUUUCCAUUUACUCGAAAACGGAUGGAAUAUUCACUGCUGUGAAUAUUGCUUGAUGUUAAUUAAAAACGUUUGUUCACAUGAAAAUGGAUGUAAUUUAGUGUUUUUUGCUUGUUUUUAGGCUAAUGUGAAUGACUCAAUUACUUUGAAGUUUUGGUAUGGUGGGGUAUUAAAAAAAGGAGUUGUGGGGUUUGAGUAUGUGUAUAGGAUAUGUAAAAACAUCUACAUAUCCCAGAUAAGAUGUCCUUUUUUGAGUUAGAAGGAAUUGUAAAGGAGGAUCUUGGGGCAAAACAUAAGUUUUGUCUUUGGUAUCAUCUACCUAAUACUGUUACCUUUUUGGAAGGGUUAAAGAGAGUUACCGA